UGGGGAAUAUUGCUCAAUGGGCGCAAGCCUGAUGCAGCAACGCCGCGUGAACGAUGAAGGUCUUCGGAUCGUAAAGUUCUGUUGCAGGGGAAGAUAAUGACGGUACCCUGUGAGGAAGCCCCGGCUAACUACGUGCCAGCAGCCGCGGUAAUACGUAGGGGGCUAGCGUUAUCCGGAUUUACUGGGCGUAAAGGGUGCGUAGGUGGUCUUUCAAGUCGGUGGUUAAAGGCUACGGCUCAACCGUAGUUAGCCUCCGAAACUGGAAGACUUGAGUGCAGGAGAGGAAAGUGGAAUUCCCAGUGUAGCGGUGAAAUGCGUAGAUAUUAGGAGGAAUACCGGUGGCGAAGGCGACUUUCUGGACUUUUACUGACGCUCAGGUACGAAAGCGUGGGGAGCAAACAGG
rnacentral:rRNA from 1 species